AGUGAACGCUGGCGGUAGGCCUAACACAUGCAAGUCGAACGGCAGCACAGUAAGAGCUUGCUCUUACGGGUGGCGAGUGGCGGACGGGGGAGGAAUACAUCGGAAUCUACUUUUUCGUGGGGGAUAACGUAGGGAAACUUACGCUAAUACCGCAUACGACCUACGGGUGAAAGCAGGGGAUCUUCGGACCUUGCGCGAUUGAAUGAGCCGAUGUCGGAUUAGCUAGUUGGCGGGGUAAAGGCCCACCAAGGCGACGAGCCGUAGCUGGUCUGAGAGGAUGAUCAGCCACACUGGAACUGAGACACGCUCCAGACUCCUACGGGAGGCAGCAGUGGGGAAUAUUGGACAAUGGGCGCAAGCCUGAUCCAGCCAUACCGCGUGGGUGAAGAAGGCCUUCGGGUUGUAAAGCCCUUUUGUUGGGAAAGAAAAGCAGCAGGUUAAUACCCCGCUGUUCUGACGGUACCCAAAGAAUAAGCACCGGCUAACUUCGUG
rnacentral:rRNA from 1 species